GUGAGGAAUAUUGGUCAAUGGGCGCAAGCCUGAACCAGCCAUGCCGCGUGCAGGAAGACGGUCCUAUGGAUUGUAAACUGCUUUUAUUUGGGAAUAAACUCCGGUACGUGUACCGGCCUGAAGGAACCAAAUGAAUAAGCACCGGCUAACUCCGUGCCAGCAGCCGCGGUAAUACGGAGGGUGCAAGCGUUAUCCGGAAUCAUUGGGUUUAAAGGGUCCGCAGGCGGUCUCAUAAGUCAGUGGUGAAAGCCUACAGCUCAACUGUAGAACUGCCAUUGAUACUGUAGGACUUGAAUUCGAUCGAAGUGGGCGGAAUGUGACAUGUAGCGGUGAAAUGCUUAGAUAUGUCACAGAACACCGAUAGCGAAGGCAGCUCACUAGGUCUGGAUUGACGCUCAGGGACGAAAGCGUGGGGAGCAAACAGGAUUAGAAACCCCUGUAGUCC
rnacentral:rRNA from 1 species